GAAACCUAUUUUCUUGCGCAGCGUUAUUUCUAAAUUCCGCGUGUCCUUCGGUUGUAUUGUACAAUAACAGCACCAAAUACAGCAGAUCUUUGCGAUAUUUGAAGCACGCAACCAGGAACAGUAUUUUCUGGACACCCGGUAGAUCCACGGAACCGUUGCGUGCGACGCCGCUCAGCCUUGAAGCGGGAGUGAGAGAGAAACAGAGGGAGCGAAAGCGAAAACUGCGAGCCAGAGGCAGAAGAGGAGUGUGCGAGAGAGAGAUGCGACGAACGGAGUCAGACGGGGACGGCUGUCAGUGGCGAAGUUGCGCAACUGUGGCGCUAGCGUCGAGAGGAACAAAACACUGGAGACGCGCGGAGCGUGUAUCUGGUACUUUUACAGUGACGCUAAUCGUAUCAUUUGUGUCAGUUAACUGAAGAUUUUGUUAGUACUUUGACCGGUGCAUAAGAUUUCGUUGGUUACACGUAAUGACAGAGCACUGCGGAACGUAUCUUUAGAGUGUCUCUUUCCGGUGAUGGCUGCCGGGUGUACUGCGCCGUCAAAAUGGCGGCUGGGUGAGAGAUGCGCUACGGACCGGCAGGAAAAUGAGCGGUUUGUACGACUGCAGCAAGGAUAUGACAACCGGUCACUAUCGCACAAAGAAGGUCUAUCCUGCUGAUGACACUGGCUUGUUUCCCAAGUCCGUCUCCGACGAUAUACAGGCCAGCAGGAAAGACAAUUUAACAUUUGGAUGUAAGAUGCUGACCCAAGGACCUAUGCUUGGUGAAGUGUCUCCUUUCAAAUGGAUGGACAGAUGAACACCAGCAACCAGGGUAGGAAUCUAAAACAACCCAAGGGACCUGUGCACUGUGGAGCGUCUCGUUUCACCUGGAUGGACAGAUGAACACCAGCAACUACUGCAAAAAGUAUAGGCCUAUACACAACAGCUGUGGAGUAGGUCCUGUCAGCUGGAUGGGAAGAAGACCACCAGCAACUAUUGCACAAAGGGUAGGCUUACACAACAACCUAAGGGACCUUUGCUCUGUGGAGCGUUGCCUUUCAAUUGGAUGGACAGACGAACACCAGCAACCACUGCACAAAAAGUCUGCAACAUGUGCAGUGUCUCCUUUCAGCUGGAUGGGUGUGUGAACACCAGAACUACUGCACAUAGGGUAGGCCUAUACAAAAACUCAAGGGACCUACGCUCUAUGGAGUGUCUCGUUUCUAAAGGAUGUGCAGAUAAAUGUCAGCAACCACCGCACUAAGGGUACACAACAACACAAGGGACCUACACUCCAUGGAAUGUCUCCUUUCGAAUGGAUGGAUGGGUGGAUGAACACCAGCAACCACUGCAAAAAGUGUAUAAACAAUCUGUCGUGGAAAAAUUUAAACAGAAAACUCCUGAUGAUAUGGAAACAGAGCAAAGACAAUGGAAACUAUUCAGAGAUGUCUCCAUUCUGAAUUACGGUUGGACAGGACAUACACCAACAUGGUAGGACGAAAAUGUACAACUCCUACCGAUUAUGUUACAGUAAGAAAUGCCACUAAUUCUCAGUGUGACCAAACAGGGCGAUAAGGCAUUGAAUGGAAUGAAGUACGUGGUAUACAUAGAGAAAAGGGCAGAAUGCCAGUGCCAAGCAGAAGUUGGAAGAAUAAGGGAAACUAAGAGGCGAUAAAGCUGUGCAGUCGAACACGGUCGCAGUAAAUAAGCCCAGAGUCCGAAUAACAGACAGAUAAGCCCACAGUCUGAACAGUAGACCGUGCCACAGAAAACAAUGUAUUAGACUAUAUUGUGCACGAUUGAGGAAACAAUUGAAGCUGCUUUAAGAUACAGGGGCACAUCUGUUAAGAAAACAAAUAUUCCUGUUAGUUCUAAUGUUAGAAUACAUGAAGCAGGAGUACCUUGGCUGAGAAGUGUCUCCAGCGAAGCACUAUGUAGGAGUGAGUGCUGUAUCUUGAAGAUAGUGUACCUAGGAAGAAAUGAUGUUUCCAGUAUCCAGUUAGUGACCGUUUCUAGAAUCAUAUGGGGGUAUGGGUGCUGGAGACCUCCAAACUAGAUUCUUACGUUUUCUAUUGUUUUUGUUGUUGCUAGACAUUACGUUGUAUCCUCUGCUCAGUCACGAGCAUUUCUCGCUUAUAAGAAGCUUAGCUAUGUUUCUGUUACCAUCACGUCCCAUAAAAGCUUAAAUAUGGUCCAGGGGAUUAUCUUCCACAGGUAUCUUCUUUUACAGUCCGAUGACGAGCAGCAUGCCAACUUAGAGCGACGAGGUGUCCAUUACGUCUGGCGCGUCCACUGGGGUCCGAGGUAUAAUCAGGUUGCCACUGGUGCCUUCAUCUUGGCCUUCGAGGGUGACACAUUACCUGAGAAGGUCAAGGUGAUGGUCUACCACUGUGAUGUCAAGCCAUAUAUCUCUCCCACGAUGCAGUGCUUCAAGUGUUGGGUUCGGCCAUAUGUCUUCCCGCUGUGCUUUCAGACUCAUAUGUCGCAAUUGUGGUCGUCCAUCCCAUCCCAAUACUCCAUGUGCCCUGCCUUCCAUCUGUGUCAACUGCAGAGAGCACCAUCCCCCUCGCUCGCCGGACUGUAAGAUUCUACAGAAGGAAAGGAAAAUAAUGGAAUACAAGACCCUGGACCGACUGACCUACACUGAGGCUAAACGGAAAUUUGAAUGGCUUCAUCCCAUGUGCAUGACAUCAUCUUAUGCCAC